rnacentral:lncRNA from 1 species
GAUAUGCCGUAAAUGACUGCAGGAUAUAAUUAGGGUGAUUUAACGUGUAGAAUUACUUAACAUAACAUGAUAAAUUAUAAUAUUUGUUAUAUCGAUUGAGGAACUCACCCUUACAGCAUAUUUUUCAGGUAACGAGCAGUGAGUCGAAUAGAAGCUAGUGCUUGAAGUCUAGUGUGGUUAGAGGGUCAUGCUCUGAUAGAUGUAACAUCGGGACGGGAUGUUUGAAUUGUUGAAUAAAUGUAAAUUUUGAUGAAUUACAGAUGUUGAAAUAUUU